CUUUCUUCAUCUUGACAUACUUUUGAAGUAGUUCCAUGGGAGGAUGAAAGGAACCUUGGCAGACAUUAAAGAUGUACUAGAUCAUAGCUAUCAUCGUGGGUAGAAGUACCGGACCUGCUAUAGAUCCUGUAGACUCAAGGAAGGAACUGCUGCUGGGAACCAAGAUGUCUACUAUGACUGCUGUUGCUAAUUAGCUGGAUUCUCUUCAGGCAGUUUGGUCCAUUGUGAAGCAUAUGAAUUCAGGUGAAUGUGAUUCACCAAACUGGAAGCUGUCGUUCAAAAAUGCAUGUACAAUUUGGGGAUACAUGCAUAUUGAAUCUCUCCCCUUGUAAGUAUUCUCACACUUCUUUUCAAACUGUCUGUACUGAACUAUCUUGAUUAU
rnacentral:lncRNA from 1 species